AGAGCGAACGCUGGCGGCAGGCCUAAUACAUGCAAGUCGAACGGAUUCUUCGGGAUUAGUGGCGGACGGGUGAGUAACACGUGGGAACGUGCCCUUUGGUUCGGAACAACUCAGGGAAACUUGAGCUAAUACCGGAUGUGCCCUUCGGGGGAAAGAUUUAUCGCCAUUGGAGCGGCCCGCGUCUGAUUAGCUAGUUGGUGGGGUAAAGGCCUACCAAGGCUACGAUCAGUAGCUGGUCUGAGAGGAUGAUCAGCCACACUGGGACUGAGACACGGCCCAGACUCCUACGGGAGGCAGCAGUAGGGAAUCUUGCGCAAUGGGCGAAAGCCUGACGCAGCCAUGCCGCGUGAAUGAUGAAGGUCUUAGGAUUGUAAAAUUCUUUCAGUUGGGGACGAUAAUGACGGUACCCACAGAAGAACGCCCCGGCUAACUUCGCGCCAGCAGCCGC
rnacentral:rRNA from 1 species